rnacentral:misc_RNA from 1 species
UGGGGGCACGGGGUCUUUGACCUUUAUUUGCCCACGUGAACGGAAAAACAUUCGAACGACAGUUGAUGCCGCGUGCCGGCUAGACGUCCGUGAGGAAUGC